rnacentral:rRNA from 1 species
GGGGAAUCUUCCGCAAUGGGCGAAAGCCUGACGGAGCAACGCCGCGUGAGUGAAGACGGCCUUCGGGUUGUAAAGCUCUGUUAUACGGGACGAAUAAUCUUGUGGUUAAUACCCAUAAGAAGUGACGGUACCGUAAGAGAAAGCCACGGCUAACUACGUGCCAGCAGCCGCGGUAAUACGUAGGUGGCAAGCGUUGUCCGGAAUUAUUGGGCGUAAAGGGCGCGCAGGCGGCUUCUUAAGUCUGUCUUAAAAGUGCGGGGCUUAACCCCGUGAUGGGAUGGAAACUGGGAAGCUCAGAGUAUCGGAGAGGAAAGCGGAAUUCCUAGUGUAGCGGUGAAAUGCGUAGAUAUUAGGAGGAACACCAGUGGCGAAAGCGGCUUUCUGGACGAAAACUGACGCUGAGGCGCGAAAGCCAGGGGAGCGAACGGGAUUAGAUACCCCGGUAGUCCUGGCCGUAAACGAUGGGUACUAGGUGUAGGAGGUAUCGACCCCUUCUGUGCCGGAGUUAACGCAAUAAGUACCCCGCCUGGGGAGUACGGCCGCAAGGUUG